rnacentral:rRNA from 1 species
AGUGAACGCUGGCGGUAGGCCUAACACAUGCAAGUCGAACGGCAGCACAGUAAGAGCUUGCUCUUACGGGUGGCGAGUGGCGGACGGGUGAGGAAUACAUCGGAAUCUACUUUUUCGUGGGGGAUAACGUAGGGAAACUUACGCUAAUACCGCAUACGACCUACGGGUGAAAGCAGGGGAUCUUCGGACCUUGCGCGAUUGAAUGAGCCGAUGUCGGAUUAGCUAGUUGGCGGGGUAAAGGCCCACCAAGGCGACGAUCCGUAGCUGGUCUGAGAGGAUGAUCAGCCACACUGGAACUGAGACACGGUCCAGACUCCUACGGGAGGCAGCAGUGGGGAAUAUUGGACAAUGGGCGCAAGCCUGAUCCAGCCAUACCGCGUGGGUGAAGAAGGCCUUCGGGUUGUAAAGCCCUUUUGUUGGGAAGGAAAAGCGGCAGGUUAAUACCCCGCUGUUCUGACGGUACCCAAAGAAUAAGCACCGGCUAACUUCGUG